rnacentral:lncRNA from 1 species
GGUACAGAGUCAGUGUGGAGGUUAUAUACAGGGGGUACCGGUACAGAGUCAGUGUGGAGGUUAUAUACAGGGGGUACCGGUACAGAGUCAGUGUGGAGGUUAUAUACAGGGGGUACCGGUACAGAGUCAGUGUGGAGGCUAUAUACAGGGGGUACAGGUACCGAGUCAGUGUGGAGGUUAUAUACAGGGGGUACCGGUACAGAGUCAGUGUGGAGGCUAUAUACAGGGGGUACCGGUACAGAGUCAAUGUGGAGGCUAUAUACAGGGGGUACCGGUACAGAGUCAGUGUGGAGGCUAUAUACAGGGGGUACCGGUACAGAGUCAAUGUGGAGGCUAUAUACAGGGGGG